rnacentral:sRNA from 1 species
CCACUCUGUUCCAUGUGACGCCUGCCACA